CAGUCGACGAAGCACUUUAUUUGAUUUCCUUCGGGACUGAUUAUUUUGUGACUGAGUGGCGGACGGGUGAGUAACGCGUGGGUAACCUGCCUUGUACAGGGGGAUAACAGUUGGAAACGGCUGCUAAUACCGCAUAAGCGCACAGCAUCGCAUGAUGCAGUGUGAAAAACUCCGGUGGUAUAAGAUGGACCCGCGUUGGAUUAGCUAGUUGGUGAGGUAACGGCCCACCAAGGCGACGAUCCAUAGCCGACCUGAGAGGGUGACCGGCCACAUUGGGACUGAGACACGGCCCAAACUCCUACGGGAGGCAGCAGUGGGGAAUAUUGCACAAUGGGCGAAAGCCUGAUGCAGCGACGCCGCGUGAGCGAAGAAGUAUUUCGGUAUGUAAAGCUCUAUCAGCAGGGAAGAUAAUGACGGUACCUGACUAAGAAGCACCGGCUAAAUACGUGCCAGCAGCCGCGGUAAUACGUAUGGUGCAAGCGUUAUCCGGAUUUACUGGGUGUAAAGGGAGCGCAGGCGGUGCGGCAAGUCUGAUGUGAAAGCCCGGGGCUCAACCCCGGUACUGCAUUGGAAACUGUCGUACUAGAGUGUCGGAGGGGUAAGCGGAAUUCCUAGUGUAGCGGUGAAAUGCGUAGAUAUUAGGAGGAACACCAGUGGCGAAGGCGGCUUACUGGACGAUAACUGACGCUGAGGCUCGAAAGCGUGGGGAGCAACCAGGAUUAGAUACCCUGGUAGUCCACGCCGUANACGAUGAAUACUANGUGUUGGGAAGCAUUGCUUCUCGGUGCCGUCGCAAACGCAGUAAGUAUUCCACCUGGGGAGUACGUUCGCAAGAAUGAAACU
rnacentral:rRNA from 1 species